GACGAACGCUGGCGGCGUGCUUAACACAUGCAAGUCGAACGGAAAGGCCCUGCUUUUGUGGGGUGCUCGAGUGGCGAACGGGUGAGUAACACGUGAGUAACCUGCCCUUGACUUUGGGAUAACUUCAGGAAACUGGGGCUAAUACCGGAUAGGAGCUCCUGCUGCAUGGUGGGGGUUGGAAAGUUUCGGCGGUUGGGGAUGGACUCGCGGCUUAUCAGCUUGUUGGUGGGGUAGUGGCUUACCAAGGCUUUGACGGGUAGCCGGCCUGAGAGGGUGACCGGCCACAUUGGGACUGAGAUACGGUCCAGACUCCUACGGGAGGCAGCAGUGGGGAAUAUUGCACAAUGGGCGGAAGCCUGAUGCAGCAACGCCGCGUGGGGGAUGACGGCCUUCGGGUUGUAAACCGCUUUCGCCUGUGACGAAGCGUGAGUGACGGUAAUGGGUAAAGAAGCACCGGCUAACUACGUG
rnacentral:rRNA from 1 species